GGAAUUAAAUAUAAAUUAAAAUGUGCACUUAAUGAUGUGUAUUAUUGUUUGUCAAUUAUGGUUUCUUGUAGAUGAAAUUGAUCUGGAAUUAGAAGAGGAUGAUGUAAGUGAUGAUGAGGAUUCAGACCCUGAGACUAAGAGUAAAGACCCUACCAAUGAAGUGAGGGAAAACAAAAAAGGGAUCGAAUUUACCCAAAAAGAGACUUCAAAAGGUAUAUUUUUUUAUUAUAGUAUAUUUUUAUACUAGCAUUUGUUUGUAUAUAUUCAGAUUUAACGUGGUCAAAUUGUUUCCAUUGCAACAAAGGAAUAAAAUAUUGCUUCUUUUUACAGGAAAAAGAAAAAUGUCCCCUGAUGAGGCUGAGAGCACCUUAGGUAUGUGAAGCGGUUAUGUUCGUUGAUCCACAUGAUGGGUUUUAUUUAACUCAACCUUGCUGACUUAAAAUGGGU
rnacentral:lncRNA from 1 species